GUCUAGAGGCUUCGGCAAUGGGGGAAACCCUGACCGAGCGACGCCGCGUGCAGGAUGAAGGUCUUCGGAUUGUAAACUGCUUUCGGCCGGAAAGAAAGCCUGGAUGAGAGUUCAGGUGUGACUGACCGGCGGAAGAAGCCCCGGCUAACUUCGUGCCAGCAGCCGCGGUAAUACGAAGGGGGCAAGCGUUAUUCGGAUUUAUUGGGCGUAAAGGGCGUGUAGGCGGCUGGGGAAGUCCGGUGUGAAAACGCUACCGCUCAACGGAGCGAAGCCGCUGGAAACUCCCCAACUUGAGAGACGCAGAGGUGGGCAGAAUACCUGGUGUAGCGGUGGAAUGCUUAGAUAUCAGGUAGAAUACCCGAGGCGAAGGCGGCCCACUGGGCGUUUUCUGACGCUAAGGCGCGAAAGCGUGGGGAUCAAACGGGAUUAGAAACCCCAGUAGUCC
rnacentral:rRNA from 1 species